UGCGGGCCCGGGCGGCUCCCCGAGCGUCGCGAGGGAAAACUUACAGCGACGUCUCCCGCAUGGCGAAGAGUCGCGUGGGAAGGAAGGCGCUCCCGGCGGCGCCUCCGGACCGGCAGGUGGGAAAGCCAAGAGCUUGGCGCGGGGGCCCCUGUCCGCCAGACAGGGAGCCACAGCCUGGCCUUCCGACUGAAGGAGUCCGAGACUCGCCCAGGGGCAGUCCCGGACCCGAGGCAGGUGGACUCCCCCACAUCCCUGACCGGUGGCCUCUUGGAUGCCUCUGCUGACGAUGAGCUCACCACUUCACAAGAUGAGGAAACUAAGACAUAAAGACAGGGGGAGACUCACCUGAGGCCACACGGCAAGUUGGGCGCAGACAAGACUGAGACCCCAGGCUCUGGUACAAGCAUCGUGAGACAUCUUUGCCCUCCAGGCCUCUGCCCUGCCACCCCCCUCACACCCUCCCCCCCACCUUUCCUGACAUCUCCACCAAGUCGGCCUGGCAGAAACUAGAGAAGAAAGGAUCUCUAUCCUCAACAGAAGCGCAGCCUCCUGGCGGGAACGUGACCCGGUUCGGCCACUUGGGAAAACUGUGGCGGUUCCUCAAAAGAUAAGACAUCGAGGCUCCGCGUGACACAGCAGUUCCACUCCCCACGUAGGUAUCCGGAGAAACGCACACAGAGGCUCACACGGAAGCUUGUACAUGAAUGUUCACAGCAGUCUUGUCCGUACUAGUGAAAAAGUGCAAGCAGUGCAAAUGCCCACCUGCCGAUGAGCAGAGAAACAAAACAUGCAUCCAUGCGAUGGCAUGAUGCGAGGCCGGACAAAGGACUGAAGUACUGAUACAGGCUUCGUCGUGAGUGAACGUGGCAGCGAGCUCAACGGAAGAGCCAGUUAGAGAGGAUCACCUACUGUAGGAUUCCAUUUAUCUAAAAUGCCCGGAGUAGGCAAAUCCAUAGAGAAAGAGAGUAAAGUGACGGUUGCUACAGGCUGGGGGAAAGGGGCGUGGGGAGUGACUGCUAGUGGCUGCAGGGUUUUUGGGGGGGAGGGGCAGUAAAGAAAGGUCUGACAUUGACUGUGGCAAUGGUUGCACAACUUUGUGGUCCAACUAAAAACCAUUGAACUGAACCCUGUAAGUGGGUGAAUUGUGUGGUGUGUGAAUUCUAUCUCAAUUGAACUGUUAUUUUAUUUUAAAAA